UACGUAGGGGGCGAGCGUUGUCCGGAAUUAUUGGGCGUAAAGGGCGUGUAGGCGGUUGGGUAAGUCUGGCGUGAAAACCCAGGGCUCAACCCUGGGCGUGUGGUGGAUACUGCCGGGCUAGAGGGUGGUAGAGGCGAGUGGAAUUGCCAGUGUAGCGGUGAAAUGCGCAGAUAUCGGGAGGAACACCAGUGGCGAAGGCGGCUCGCUGGGCCGCACCUGACGCUGAGACGCGAAAGCGUGGGGAGCAAACAGG
rnacentral:rRNA from 1 species